rfam:Brassica napus, WGS project CCCW01000000 data, contig: 3686
CCUUGUGAUCAUGAGGAUCAGAUUGAACAGAUCCUUGCUGGUUUGCCUGAGGACUACAAGAACCUUGUGGAUCAGAUUGAAGGAAGAGAUGUGGCGCCGUCUCUCACUGAACUUCAUGAGAAGUUGAUCAACUUCGAAA